rnacentral:rRNA from 1 species
UACAGAGGGGGCAAGCGUUAUUCGGAAUUAUUGGGCGUAAAGGGCGCGUAGGCGGCUUGGCAAGUGGAAGGUGAAAUCCCUCGGCUUAACCGAGGGACUGCCCUCCAAACUGCUUCGCUUGAGACCGGGAGAGGUGAGUGGAAUUCCCAGUGUAGCGGUGAAAUGCGUAGAUAUUGGGAGGAACACCAGUGGCGAAGGCGGCUCACUGGACCGGUACUGACGCUGAGGCGCGAAAGCGUGGGGAGCAAACGGG